rfam:Nomascus leucogenys chromosome 11, whole genome shotgun sequence.
GUGCUUGCUUUGGCAGCACAUAUACCAAAAUUGAAUGAUACAGAGAAGAUUAGCAUGGCCCCUGCACAAGGAUGACAUGCAAAUUUAUGAAGUAAAUUUGAGAGGUUGUU